rnacentral:rRNA from 1 species
AUUGAACGCUGGCGGAAUGCUUUACACAUGCAAGUCGAGCGGCAGCGCGGGGCAACCUGGCGGCGAGCGGCGAACGGGUGAGUAAUGCAUCGGAACAUGUCCAUGUCGUGGGGGAUAGCCCGGCGAAAGCCGGAUUAAUACCGCAUACGCUCGAGAGAGGAAAGCCGGGGACCGCAAGGCCUGGCGCGAUUGGGUUGGCCGAUGUCCGAUUAGCUAGUUGGUGAGGUAAAGGCUUACCAAGGCGAGGAUCGGUAGCUGGUCUGAGAGGAGGAUCAGCCAGACUGGGACUGAGACACGGCCCAGACUCCUACGGGAGGCAGCAGUGGGGAAUUUUGGACAAUGGGGGCAACCCUGAUCCAGCCAUUCCGCGUGAGUGAAGAAGGCCUUCGGGUUGUAAAGCUCUUUUGUCCGGAGCGAAACGGGCGCGGCUAAUACCUGCGUCUACUGACGGUACCCGAAGAAUAAGCACCGGCUAACUACGUGCCAGCAGCCGCGGUAACAC